ACCAGACUCCUACGGGAGGCAGCAGUGGGGAAUAUUGCACAAUGGGGGAAACCCUGAUGCAGCAACGCCGCGUGAGUGAAGAAGUAUUUCGGUAUGUAAAGCUCUAUCAGCAGGGAAGAAAAUGACAGUACCUGACUAAGAAGCCCCGGCUAACUACGUGCCAGCAGCCGCGGUAAUACGUGGGGGGCAAGCGUUAUCCGGAUUUACUGGGUGUAAAGGGAGCGUAGACGGUAGAGCAAGUCUGAAGUGAAAGCCCGCGGCUCAACUGCGGGACUGCUUUGGAAACUGUUCAACUGGAGUGCUGGAGAGGUAAGCGGAAUUCCUAGUGUAGCGGUGAAAUGCGUAGAUAUUAGGAGGAACACCAGUGGCGAAGGCGGCUUACUGGACAGUAACUGACGUUGAGGCUCGAAAGCGCGGGGAGCAAACAGGAUUAGAUACCCUUGUA
rnacentral:rRNA from 1 species